GUUUGGUUAAGUUAGAAAGGGCGCACGGUGGAUGCCUUGACACUAGGAGUCGAUGAAGGACGGGACUAACGCCGAUAUGCUUCGGGGAGCUGUAAGUAAGCUUUGAUCCGAAGAUUUCCGAAUGGGGAAACCCACCAUACGUAAUGGUAUGGUAUCCUUAUCUGAAUACAUAGGGUAAGGAAGACAGACCCAGGGAACUGAAACAUCUAAGUACCUGGAGGAAGAGAAAGCAAAUGCGAUUUCCUGAGUAGCGGCGAGCGAAACGGAACAUAGCCCAAACCAAGAGGCUUGCCUCUUGGGGUUGUAGGACAUUCUAUACGGAGUUACAAAGGAACGAGGUAGACGAAGCGACCUGGAAAGGUCCGUCGUAGAGGGUAACAACCCCGUAGUCGAAACUUCGUUCUCUCUUGAAUGUAUCCUGAGUACGGCGGAACACGUGAAAUUCCGUCGGAAUCUGGGAGGACCAUCUCCCAAGGCUAAAUACUCCCUAGUGAUCGAUAGUGAACCAGUACCGUGAGGGAAAGGUGAAAAGCACCCCGGAAGGGGAGUGAAAGAGAUCCUGAAACCGUGUGCCUACAAAUAGUCAGAGCCCGUUAACGGGUGAUGGCGUGCCUUUUGUAGAAUGAACCGGCGAGUUACGAUCCCGUGCGAGGUUAAGCUGAAGAGGCGGAGCCGCAGCGAAAGCGAGUCUGAAUAGGGCGUUUAGUACGUGGUCGUAGACCCGAAACCAGGUGAUCUACCCAUGUCCAGGGUGAAGUUCAGGUAACACUGAAUGGAGGCCCGAACCCACGCACGUUGAAAAGUGCGGGGAUGAGGUGUGGGUAGCGGAGAAAUUCCAAUCGAACCUGGAGAUAGCUGGUUCUCCCCGAAAUAGCUUUAGGGCUAGCCUUAAGUGUAAGAGUCUUGGAGGUAGAGCACUGAUUGGACUAGGGGUCCUCAUCGGAUUACCGAAUUCAGUCAAACUCCCAAUGCCAAUGACUUAUCCUUAGGAGUCAGACUGCGAGUGAUAAGAUCCGUAGUCAAAAGGGAAACAGCCCAGACCGCCAGCUAAGGUCCCAAAGUGUGUAUUAAGUGGAAAAGGAUGUGGAGUUGCUUAGACAACUAGGAUGUUGGCUUAGAAGCAGCCACCAUUUAAAGAGUGCGUAAUAGCUCACUAGUCGAGUGACUCUGCGCCGAAAAUGUACCGGGGCUAAAUACACCACCGAAGCUGCGGAUUGAUACCGAAUGGUAUCAGUGGUAGGGGAGCGUUCUAAGGACAGUGAAGUCAGACCGGAAGGACUGGUGGAGUGCUUAGAAGUGAGAAUGCCGGUAUGAGUAGCGAAAGACGGGUGAGAAUCCCGUCCACCGAAUGCCUAAGGUUUCCUGAGGAAGGCUCGUCCGCUCAGGGUUAGUCAGGACCUAAGCCGAGGCCGACAGGCGUAGGCGAUGGACAACAGGUUGAUAUUCCUGUACCACCUCUUUAUCGUUUGAGCAAUGGAGGGACGCAGAAGGAUAGAAGAAGCGUGCGAUUGGUUGUGCACGUCCAAGCAGUUAGGCUGAUAAGUAGGCAAAUCCGCUUAUC
rnacentral:rRNA from 1 species